GCGGGUAUAGCUCAGUGGCAGAGUGUGUGCCUAGCAAGCACAAGGUCCUGGGUUUAAUUCCUAGUACCUCCA
rnacentral:tRNA from 1 species